rnacentral:rRNA from 1 species
UACGUAGGGGCCGAGCGUUGUCCGGAGUUAUUGGGCGUAAAGAGCGCGCAGGCGGUCGUUCAAGUCGCGUGUGAAAGCCCCCGGCUCAACUGGGGAGGGUCACGCGAUACUGAUCGACUCGAAGGCAGGAGAGGGUAGUGGAAUUCCCGGUGUAGUGGUGAAAUGCGUAGAUAUCGGGAGGAACACCAGUGGCGAAGGCGACUACCUGGCCUGUUCUUGACGCUGAGGCGCGAAAGCUAGGGGAGCAAACAGG